rnacentral:lncRNA from 1 species
GGGCCUAAGGAAUCAGCAAUGGCCAGUCAGAAGAGGCAGCAACUGUGUGGCUGUGGAAUAGGCCCAGCAAGCACCUUGCUGAGCACCAGCCACUUCCUGAUGGGAACUGUUUGCUGCGCCCUCAGAAGCCAGGGUUGAGCUCUGGCCAAAAAGACUGAGCUUCCAGGGUCUUGCAGCACACCACAGAAAGGACACUGCUCGGCAGACAGGAUCAUGCAGGGAAGCUGCGGGAGGAGGCUGGCUGAAGGAACUUCUGGCCUGGAUCCCCUUGGUGAGGGCAGGCUGCAGGCCACUGCCGCCCUUGAUAAGGAAGCAACAGAACCAGGCUCUGAGUUACAAGUGAAGGUGCUAUGCUUGCAGCCAGUCUCACUGUGUUCCUGGGCUGCCUGUCACUGGUCCAGCUCUCUGCAGAACAGUACUAAAAGCUAGCAAAUCCACUGGCCUCCCCCAGGCUGGUGAGGAGAAUGUAAGGGGCAGCAGGAACUGCUGCAGAUGUCAGGACCAGCCUGGAGAACGUUUCUGCCUCGGAAAGAGGGAGUCCCUGGCUCUGCAGUGCAGAGAAGCAAGAGCUAGGCUUAGGUCUCUCUCUCUCUCUCUCUCACUCACUGCUGCCCUUCAUGACAGGCCAGUUUCCAGAGGGGACUCAGAAGUGUCCUGAGAGGGUGUUUAUUUCAAGGAGACCUUAAAAGAACAUGAUCUCUAUUCUCAGAUAACUGGGGACAGUCAUUGAGCUGGUUCAGGGGACAAUCAACUUGUUCUCUCUGCUGCUAAAAGAUCCUGUCUAUGGGGGACAGGUUGCAGGAGGCUGUGCUUUGUGAUGGGAUACUGUAGCUGGAUUGACUAGACAGUGGCUCAGAGUCCCGUGGCCACAGAGCAGGAGGCUACAGAGCAGGAAGCUAUGCAAGGAGUUAGGCCUUCAGAAGGCAGCCUGGUUUCUAUGAGUCUCAAGGCAGGUGGCUGCCUUGGUUCUAUUGAAAUUACAGCUCCACCUCUUUGAUCUUGCCAAGCCAAAAUGUAUCGCUUAUAGGAGUGGAGACACCCCAGCCCGACCUCUACCUUCAAGUGCAGGUGUUGCUAACAGUGCUCAAUUGAGACCUGAGUCUUAGCCUGACCUGUCCUGUUCUUUCUCUUCCCUGUGCUGUGCCUUCAUUGGUAAAAUAAAUUUGAUGGUGUCUGAAUCCUCUGACAAGCUCU